UACGUAGGGGGCAAGCGUUGUCCGGAUUUAUUGGGCGUAAAGAGCGUGUAGGCGGCUAGAUAGGUCCGUUGUGAAAACUCGAGGCUCAACCUCGAGACGUCGAUGGAAACCAUCUGGCUAGAGUCCGGAAGAGGAGAGUGGAAUUCCUGGUGUAGCGGUGAAAUGCGCAGAUAUCAGGAAGAACACCCGUGGCGAAGGCGGCUCUCUGGAACGCAACUGACGCUGAGACGCGAAAGCGUGGGGAGCAAACAGG
rnacentral:rRNA from 1 species